rnacentral:rRNA from 1 species
CCAUGNUACGCUUUGGAAACUGUUUAANUUGAGUGCAGAAGGGGAGAGUGGAAUNCCAUGUGUAGCGGUGAAAUGCGUAGAUAUAUGGAGGAACACCGGUGGCGAAAGCGGCUCUCUGGUCUGUAACUGACGCUGAGGCUCGAAAGCGUGGGGAGCGAACAGGAUUAGAUACCCUGGUAGUCCACGCCGUAAACGAUGAGUGCUAGGUGUUAGGCCCUUUCCGGGGCUUAGUGCCGCAGCUAACGCAUUAAGCACUCCGCCUGGGGAGUACGACCGCAAGGUUGAAACACAAAGGAAUUGACGGGGGCCCGCACAAGCGGUGGAGCAUGUGGUUUAAUUCGAAGCAACGCGAAGAACCUUACCAGGUCUUGACAUCCCGAUGCCCGCUCUAGAGAUAGAGUUUUACUUCGGUACAUCGGUGACAGGUGGUGCAUGGUUGUCGUCAGCUCGUGUCGUGAGAUGUUGGGUUAAGUCCCGCAGCGAGCGCAACCCUUAUUGUUAGUUGCCAUCAUUCAGUUGGACACUCUAGCGAGACUGCCGGUAAUAAACCGGAGGAAGGUGGGGAUGACGUCAAAUCAUCAUGCCCCUUAUGACCUGGGCUACACACGUGCUACAAUGGCUGGUACAACGAGUCGCAAGUCGGUGACGGCAAGCUAAUCUCUUAAAGCCAGUCUCAGUUCGGAUUGUAGGCUGCAACUCGCCUACAUGAAGUCGGAAUCGCUAGUAAUCGCGGAUCAGCACGCCGCGGUGAAUACGUUCCCGGGCCUUGUACACACCGCCCGUCACACCACGAGAGUUUGUAACACCCGGAGUCGGUGAGGUAACCUUUUAGGAG